UACAGAGGGGGCGGGCGUUGUUCGGAAUUACUGGGCGUAAAGGGCGCGUAGGCGGCCCGCUAAGUCGAACGUGAAAUCCCCAGGCUCAACCUGGGAACUGCGUCCGAUACUGGCAGGCUUGAAUCCGGGAGAGGGAUGUGGAAUUCCAGGUGUAGCGGUGAAAUGCGUAGAUAUCUGGAGGAACACCGGUGGCGAAGGCGGCAUCCUGGACCGGUAUUGACGCUGAGGCGCGAAAGCUAGGGGAGCAAACGGG
rnacentral:rRNA from 1 species